rnacentral:rRNA from 1 species
GAUGAACGCUGGCGGCGUGCCUAAUACAUGCAAGUCGAGCGAACGGACGAGAAGCUUGCUUCUCUGAUGUUAGCGGCGGACGGGUGAGUAACACGUGGAUAACCUACCUAUAAGACUGGGAUAACUUCGGGAAACCGGAGCUAAUACCGGAUAAUAUUUUGAACCGCAUGGUUCAAAAGUGAAAGACGGUCUUGCUGUCACUUAUAGAUGGAUCCGCGCUGCAUUAGCUAGUUGGUAAGGUAACGGCUUACCAAGGCAACGAUGCAUAGCCGACCUGAGAGGGUGAUCGGCCACACUGGAACUGAGACACGGUCCAGACUCCUACGGGAGGCAGCAGUAGGGAAUCUUCCGCAAUGGGCGAAAGCCUGACGGAGCAACGCCGCGUGAGUGAUGAAGGUCUUCGGAUCGUAAAACUCUGUUAUUAGGGAAGAACAUAUGUGUAAGUAACUGUGCACAUCUUGACGGUACCUAAUCAGAAAGCCACGGCUAACUACGUGCCAGCAGCCGCGGUAAUACGUAGGUGGCAAGCGUUAUCCGGAAUUAUUGGGCGUAAAGCGCGCGUAGGCGGUUUUUUAAGUCUGAUGUGAAAGCCCACGGCUCAUCCGUGGAGGGUCAUUGGAAACUGGAAAACUUGAGUGCAGAAGAGGAAAGUGGAAUUCCAUGUGUAGCGGUGAAAUGCGCAGAGAUAUGGAGGAACACCAGUGGCGAAGGCGACUUUCUGGUCUGUAACUGACGCUGAUGUGCGAAAGCGUGGGGAUCAAACAGGAUUAGAUACCCUGGUAGUCCACGCCGUAAACGAUGAGUGCUAAGUGUUAGGGGGUUUCCGCCCCUUAGUGCUGCAGCUAACGCAUUAAGCACUCCGCCUGGGGAGUACGACCGCAAGGUUGAAACUCAAAGGAAUUGACGGGGACCCGCACAAGCGGUGGAGCAUGUGGUUUAAUUCGAAGCAACGCGAAGAACCUUACCAAAUCUUGACAUCCUUUGACAACUCUAGAGAUAGAGCCUUCCCCUUCGGGGGACAAAGUGACAGGUGGUGCAUGGUUGUCGUCAGCUCGUGUCGUGAGAUGUUGGGUUAAGUCCCGCAACGAGCGCAACCCUUAAGCUUAGUUGCCAUCAUUAAGUUGGGCACUCUAAGUUGACUGCCGGUGACAAACCGGAGGAAGGUGGGGAUGACGUCAAAUCAUCAUGCCCCUUAUGAUUUGGGCUACACACGUGCUACAAUGGACAAUACAAAGGGCAGCGAAACCGCGAGGUCAAGCAAAUCCCAUAAAGUUGUUCUCAGUUCGGAUUGUAGUCUGCAACUCGACUACAUGAAGCUGGAAUCGCUAGUAAUCGUAGAUCAGCAUGCUACGGUGGAUACGUUCCCGGGUCU